rnacentral:rRNA from 1 species
CCUACGGGAGGCAGCAGUGGGGGAUAUUGCACAAUGGGGGGAACCCUGAUGCAGCGACGCCGCGUGUGGGAAGACGGUCCUCUGGAUUGUAAACCACUGUCCCCAGGGACGAAAAUGACGGUACCUGGGGAGGAAGCUCCGGCUAACUACGCGCCAGCAGCCGCGGAAAUCGGUGGGGAGCGAGCGUUGUCCGGAAUUACUGGGUGUAAAGGGAGCGUAGGCGGGGAUGCAAGUUGGGUGUCAAAACUACCGGCUCAACUGGUAGUCGCACUCAAAACUGCAGCUCUUGAGUGAAGUAGAGGCAGGCGGAAUGCCUAGUGUAGCGGUGAAAUGCGUAGAUAUUAGGAGGAACACCAGUGGCGAAGGCGGCCUGCUGGGCUUUGACUGACGCUGAGGCUCGAAAGUGUGGGGAGCAAACAGGAUUAGAUACCCUAGUAGUC